GCUAAAGGGAACAGACUUCGCCAGUAGAAGGAGCACAGAGGGGAAUUUAGGGGAAUCUGCCAGUAACUGCAUCACAUGACAACCGAACAGCAUGGCGGUGGCGGCAUCUUGCUGUGUGGAUGAUUUUCUACAACAGGAGCAAGGAAGAUUGUCAGAGUUGAUGGGAAGAUGGAUGGAGUUAAUCUUGGAAGAAAACCUUUUAGAGGGAGAAAAAGACUCAAGCCUGGGGUGGAAACUUUAUUUCAACACAACGACCCCAAAUAUACAACCAGACCUACAAUGGAAUGGUUUGGAUCAAAGCAUAUUUACCGAUGCUGAUGUGACUCCUCUGAUGUGAGCUGCUGUAACGACCGCUGGAUGUCUUGUAGAGUUUCAAACAGAGGAGAUUUGGUGACUAAUUUGGACAGAUCGUCAUCACUAAGACAAGGAGCUGUGGUCUGUGCACAGUCUAGAGAACAGAUAAAUAAGUUACAUGCAAUACAUUUUUAAAGUACAUAUUAUUUUGUUCCAAUGUAUCCAAAACGUAACCAACCAAAAAGUGUGAAGAUUUGUUUCUGACCUGUUUCAUUAGAAUGAGAUUCUCCUUUAUUCACUGACAUUGAUGAAAACUGGGGACAGUUAAAAAAGAAAAAUAAACACAACUUUUACAUUCCCAAA